UACAACGCACUACCUGUUCAUAGUAGUCGUUGCUGUCAACAGCACACUGCUCACCAUCAACGCAGGGGACUACAUCUUCUACACAGACUGGGCGUGGACGUCCUUCGCUGUGUUCUCGGUGGCGCAGGGUAUGAUGCUUGCGGGAGGAUAACUAUCCUAUUGCUUAUUCACCGGCGUCCCAGGAAUCGCAACUGCUUACGCCUCUAUCUGCACUAUCUACCCAGUGUGUGCAACGGGCGCAUGUGUCUCAUUGUUCUACCUCAACGACUUGCGCGGGCGACAAGACGCAACAAGCACGAUGCUAUACUGAUUGGCGGUACGCUGGUUAGCCGAUCCGUCCCGCUGUUACACCUGGUCAACCUGUUGCGUGUAAGCGACCCGCUCGAGGUGGCCUUCAAGUAUCCGAGACCGACUCUGCCCGCGUACAUGACGCCUAUAGAGCCUCAGGUAGGGAAGUUCUACAACUCGCCUGUCGCCCUGGGUUCAGGUGCCGGUGCAGUGCUAACGGUACCCAUCGCUGCGUUGGGUGCAAAACUAAACACGUGG
rnacentral:rRNA from 1 species